rnacentral:rRNA from 1 species
UACGGGGGGGGCAAGCGUUGUUCGGAAUUACUGGGCGUAAAGGGCUUGUAGGUGGCCAACUAAGUCAGACGUGAAAUCCCUCAGCUUAACUGGGGAACUGCGUCUGAUACUGGAUGGCUUGAGUUUGGGAGAGGGACGCGGAAUUCCCAGUGUAGAGGUGAAAUUCGUAGAUAUUGGGAAGAACACCGGUGGCGAAGGCGGCGACCUGGUCCGAUACUGACGCUGAGGAGCGAAAGCGUGGGGAGCGAACAGG